rnacentral:lncRNA from 1 species
AUAUUCUUGUCGUUCGUUGACCAUGUACCAUUGUUGUCUUCAACGUUAUCAUUUAUGCCCUCGUCUUCUGAAUCACUGUAUAUUAGCGGUACAUGACGUCGCUUUCGAAUCGCUAUACUACUGCUAUCACUUUCGUCAUCAGUACUACUUGCUGAACGGCAGUCAAGACAAUCUGACAGGUCGUCGAGAUAAAACUCACCGACACUAUCCUUUUCAUUCAUUUUUAAGGGCUAAAGCUUAAAGAAAAGCACCGAUUAUCUGAAUAAAGAAUGCGAAAUGCUUGCUUCUUGCUAUUUGUCAGUCUAGCCUAACCGAAUCUAACAGAAAGAUCAAAAGUCGAUUAAUCGACGACCGGUCGGUAAAAUGUUAAGUGAAAUAAGUAGGCUUAAACUUUAAAGAACAGUAUUAAACUUAUUAACACUCGUCAUGCGAGUAUAUUUCGCCGCGGACUUACGCAAGCAGUGGGCAUUUUUUCGUGAAUCUCUCGAGAGUUUGGCCACAUGCAAAGCGUUGCCUAGUAAAGUAAGUAUCACCGGGACAUCUUUCACAGUUAUCUUAUUGAUAGCGUUUGAAUCUCAAUAAUCUGACUUCAGAAAAAAGUUAUCUAAAUGAUAUCUUUUGACUGAGUUCUAAAAAAUAUCCCUAUAAUAUUAACGUCAAGAUAUCUUUCUGAUUUUGAUGCUGAGCGGGUUGUGAAUAUUAGGAAUAAAAGUUUUUUUUGAGAUUAACUGAUGUAUGUAUUAUUUGUUUAGAUUAUUUAUAAAUUAUUUUCUAAAAUAAUUCUUAUUAAACUAUAAUCUCUUGCAGCUUUUCGACCAGUAUCAGUAUACUUUUAAUUUUCUGUUUAAGUUGUCAAGACACCUAAAACUAAUGCAGAGAAGUCUAUUACUAUCUUAACAAAAAUUUCUCUGUAAUUUUAUUUAUUAUGCUGAAAUUUCUCAGCAUAAACAAACGCGGAACGUUGUAAGGCAUAUAGGCUGCAAAAAAAAUGAUUGCACAAGCAUACCAAUCGUCUGUGAAUGAAAUUUUAUGUACUCCAUCAACUUCGAAAUUACUAAUGAUUUCUGGACCAUCGUCUCAGCUUGUGAUUACCAGUGCAAAAAUUGGCUCACUCCGGUGACCUAAUUGAUUCAAUUAUACAAAAAUCUCAAAUUUCAACGUUGAGUGAAAUUUUGUUAGAUAAUAAGCAGUUUGUUAGCAUACCAAAUUUUAUUGUAUAAUUCAACAUAAACGAUCAAAUGUUCGAGCUGGAGGAGUUGCUAUCCAUGACAAUGCGAAUGAUACAACUAUCAUUGUUACUGCUACUAUCGACAUGACUGUAAGACAGUCCAACUUUGUUAGUUCUGCGAUGUCAUCAGUAGGUGAAUUUUGUAUAGCGGAGUGUAAAACAGGAGAUGGUAAAAAAAUUGCUUUAAUAGCAAUUUAUAUUUCUCCAAAUCAAAAAAUUGAAGAUAUUAUUCAUUUUUUAAAAUGGGCGCUAUUUCCAUAUACAAAAAUUGGAGGAGCAUAUUUGGGUAGAGGUGAGGUAAGUUACCGAUGAUUUUAAGUGGAGUUUUUAAUGUUAAUUUCAAUUCAGAUAAUUUUGAUGUAAUCUCAUCAACUUUUUACGUGAAGAUUUAAAUCUUUCAAUAAAUAACAACCAAGCAGUUUCUACAACCGAACAUGGUACUACAACUGAUUCUGUAUUUAUACGAUAUUUAGAUAACGUUUCUACUAGACAAUUUGUUUUAUAUUUUAGCUACCAUAAGCCUCUUGUAACUCACAUGCCCAUUGAAUUACAAUCAGAUCAACUAAUGGACGUGAAUUAAUUAAAUUUCAACAUGUAUAAAUUGUAUAUAUAGUAAUAAUAUAGUAAUAAAAGUUUUUGAAGUUAUUUUUAAUUAUGUGAAUAAUCAACCAGGGGUUUUAUGCCACAAGAGUUUUCCCUGACGAGCCAGUAAAGUAUUAUACUUUGUAUUGGCUCAACCAAGUGUUUUAUUUAUUAUUUUAAAUAAACCCUUCUUCUUCUUCAUCAUAGUUUAACACAAUCGCUAGAGGACUCCAUAUUGGAGAAAUCUGUGCACAAUACAAUGUAUAAAUAGAUUAGAUUAUACUUAUUAAUUAAACCAUUAUCAAAAUUGUA